rnacentral:rRNA from 1 species
AACGAACGCUGGCGGCAUGCCUAACACAUGCAAGUCGAACGAGACCUUCGGGUCUAGUGGCGCACGGGUGCGUAACGCGUGGGAACCUGCCCUUAGGUUCGGAAUAACUCCCCGAAAGGGGUGCUAAUACCGGUUAAUGUCUUCGGACCAAAGAUUUAUCGCCUUUGGAUGGGCCCGCGUUGGAUUAGCUAGUUGGUAGGGUAAAAGCCUACCAAGGCGACGAUCCAUAGCUGGUCUGAGAGGAUGAUCAGCCACACUGGGACUGAGACACGGCCCAGACUCCUACGGGAAGCAGCAGUGGGGAAUAUUGGACAAUGGGCGAAAGCCUGAUCAAGCAAUGCCGCGUGAGUGAUGAAGGCCUUAGGGUUGUAAAGCUCUUUUACCCGGGAUGAUAAUGACAGUACCGGGAGAAUAAGCUCCGGCUAACUCCGUG